ACGGAAGGCAGCAGUGGGGAAUAUUGGGCAAUGGGCGCAAGCCUGACCCAGCAACGCCGCGUGAAGGAAGAAGGCUUUCGGGUUGUAAACUUCUUUUAGCAGGGACGAAGGACGCGACGGUACCUGCAGAAAAAGCAACGGCUAACUACGUGCCAGCAGCCGCGGUAAUACGUAGGUUGCAAGCGUUGUCCGGAUUUACUGGGUGUAAAGGGCGUGUAGGCGGAGCUGCAAGUCAGAUGUGAAAUCCCGGGGCUUAACCCCGGAACUGCAUUUGAAACUGUAGCCCUUGAGUAUCGGAGAGGCAAGCGGAAUUCCUAGUGUAGCGGUGAAAUGCGUAGAUACUAGGAGGAACACCAGUGGCGAAGGCGGCUUGCUGGACGACAACUGACGCUGAGGCGCGAAAGCGUGGGGAUCAAACAGGAUUAGAUACCCUGGUA
rnacentral:rRNA from 1 species